rnacentral:rRNA from 1 species
GAUGAACGCUGGCGGCGUGCCUAAUACAUGCAAGUCGAGCGAACGGACGAGAAGCUUGCUUCUCUGAUGUUAGCGGCGGACGGGUGAGUAACACGUGGAUAACCUACCUAUAAGACUGGGAUAACUUCUGGAAACCGGAGCUAAUACCGGAUAAUAUUUUGAACCGCAUGGUUCAAAAUUGAAAGACGGUCUUGCUGUCACUUAUAGAUGGAUCCGCGCUGCAUUAGCUAGUUGGUAAGGUAACGGCUUACCAAGGCAACGAUGCAUAGCCGACCUGAGAGGGUGAUCGGCCACACUGGAACUGAGAAACGGUCCAGACUCCUACGGGAGGCAGAAGAAGGGAAUCUUCCGAAAUGGGCGAAAGCCUGACGGAGCAACGCCGCGUGAGUGAUGAAGGUCUUCGGAUCGUAAAACUCUGUUAUUAGGGAAGAACAUAUGUGUAAGUAACUGUGCACAUCUUGACGGUACCUAAUCAGAAAGCCACGGCUAACUACGUG